rnacentral:lncRNA from 1 species
CGACCAUAGUGCAAGUGUGAAAAGGUAGAUGUCCUAUGAUUGUCAAUGACAAAACUCUGCGCCAUAGACCAAAUGACAUAAAAAUUAAUAACUAUAUGUCAUCGUACAGCCAUCAACAUUGAUCAAAACCUAACCUCAUAUCAACGUUUUAUAAUAUCAAAGCUAUUCCAAAAAACUAAUGGCUAGAUUUAAUACAAAACAAUAAACGAAGAACAAAUAUGAUAUACAGCAACAAACGACAACUACUGAACUAAAGGCUCCUGACAUUGUACACACACAUACAGAAUAUGGCAGGGUUGAAUAUUUUUACAUUUUCGAAAACUUAUGUACAGC